AUAAAUUAAGGGUUCUAGGGCCUGACUGGUUUAAACGCAGCAGAUGCGGUUGCGGUUGUGGGAGUUUGCGGAAACGGGCGGUUGCGGUUUCAAGUGUUAUCAAGUGUUUUGAACGACUGGUUACGUUUGAUAAUGGAUGCAUUUGCGGGAGAUUUAUGAUUGGUAAACCAGCGGGUGCGAUAGUAACUAAAUAAAAAUAAAUCAAAAU
rnacentral:sRNA from 1 species